GACGAACGCUGGCGGCGUGCCUAAUACAUGCAAGUCGAACGCAGUGGGGACGGUUGAUUAACACGUGGGUAACCUCCCCAUCAGAGGGGAUAACCCUUGGAAACAGGUGCUAAAUCCCAUCCUGAUUGAUGGACCCGCGGUGCAUUAGCUAGUUGGUGAGGUAACGGCUCACCCAGGCCACGAUGCAUAGCCGACCUGAGAGGGGGAUCGUCCACACUGGGACUGAGACACGGCCCAGACUCCUAUGGGAGGCAGCAGUAGGGAAUCUUGGAAAAUGGACGAAAGUCUGACCGAGCAACGCCGCGUGAGUGAAGAAGGUUUUCGGUGCGUAAACCUCUUUUGUUAGAGAAGCGGUAUCUAAACAGAAAGCAACGGCUAACUACGUGCCAGCAGCCGCGGUAAUUC
rnacentral:rRNA from 1 species